UACGAAGGGGGCUAGCGUUGCUCGGAAUCACUGGGCGUAAAGCGCACGUAGGCGGACUCUUAAGUCGGUGGUGAAAUCCUGGAGCUCAACUCCAGAACUGCCUUCGGUACUGGGAGUCUUCGAGUCCGGGAGAGGUGAGUGGAACUGCGAGUGUAGAGGUGAAAUUCGUAGAUAUUCGCAAGAACACCAGUGGCGAAGGCGGCUCACUGGCCCGGCACUGACGUUCAUGUGCGAAAGCGUGGGGAGCAAACAGG
rnacentral:rRNA from 1 species